AUUUUUGUUGGUCGACCUGAUCGUGCUUUGGUUUCGACAGAAUCUCUCAUUUUGCACUUCUUAAUUGGAGUUUGAUAUCUUCUUCUCUCCCUUUCCUGUGUGUUACAGUUCAAUGAGCUUUUCCCGCAGAUCUUUUGCUUUCCCCAUGACUCCGAAUCCAGAGAUGUCAGUGCAAGGCCCAGAAACUCCCUGAACCUUUAUUCUUGCGAGGCAGCAGCGAACCGCACGGGGUUCCCACGCCAGCCAGACAGUGGUCGGAGUUCACGGCGAACGUCCGUCAGCCACUCGCGACGAGGGCGAGGACGACGGGGGAAACAUCAUCCGGCUGCGGCCGCCCAAGGCUGCAACUGGGCACUGCGUGCACCACGGAUGAAGUGGUUAGCUCAGCAAAAAAAGCACGUUACCUGGGCGUUGGCUCGGUGGGCGGGGCCGCGCGGUGCAUGGUGAUCGGUCGGGUGAAGUACACCAGACAGCCGGUGCCACAGAAGCGAGCCCCCGACGUGCGCGGGAAAGGAAUGUUGGCGUCCUGGAAACACGGGAGACGCAGGAGAAGGCCAAAGCAUCAACAGCACCGCAGAAUCUAUCGGACUCCUCCGUCAGCCGGCGGUCCUCGGGCACGGCUCUGCUCACCAUCUCCCGCAUUGGCCGUCACACCUUUGGGGCCAGAGUCUUCAGUGUUGCUGCCCCCACCCUCUGGAUCUCCCUUCCCUCCGAGAUGCGUGAUGCACCGACCCUGGACUCUUUCAAAACAGCCUUCAAAACCCAUAGUUAACCUUUAAUUGUUGUUCGUUCGUUAGUCCUGCCUUGUGUUUUGUUUUUUCCGUUGUUGUCUAACCUGUAACACAUCCUUGGGUGUCCUGAAAGGCGCUAUAUAUCUCAUUUAUGAAUAUUAUUGUUUGGAUUGUUCACAAGUUCCAAGAAAGGCUGCUGAGCAUGACUAAAUGAGCG